AAAUAUAUAAGGUUGAACAACUUCAUAUCAGUCAGUGCACUGCAACCGCUGAACUAACCACUUGUACAGAACAAUAAAUAGUUAUUCAAAAUGUGUAGAAUAUUGUUGAUGACAAUGGCAAUGGUUGUGCUGGCGUCGGCAGCGCCUGAUCCAGCGGUAUUCUAUGGAGUGAACCCGUACUCCGCUGCCCUGAUAGCCCCUGGCGUACCCUACCCCUAUUCUACCUACUCCACUUACGCUUCAUCCUAUGUCCAGGAUUGGUCAGCAGUAUCAGCGCCCCUAGUGGCCGCUGCGUACCCCGCCGCUUAUACUGCUGAUUGGUUCUACCGUCGGUAGAAUACUUUUAAACCAGGGCAUAUCCAAUGUGUUUUCAGUAAUGGACAGGAUAUAUAUAAUAUUGACACCAGCCAAUCACGGGAUAUUUCGUUAGCUUACGCAAUAUUGUCAGAUAUCUUUAGAGGCCUCUGAACUUUGUCUACGAGCACAAAGCUUGAACGCUAUUAGGGCAAGCGUUUAAGGUUACGCUACCGUUUUACGGACCAUUAUGUAAUCGGUACCUACCGUAAUUUCAUACCGGUAUAAUAAAAGUAGCAUACCCUUUUAUACGUUUUAAACCCAGGCAUAGAGUAAAAUAAAAAAUCUUUGUAUUCUAUUUGAAGAAAGCAUUUUGGCAAGACCUGUGCACUCUGUUCAGAUGACGUGAAAUCCGGGCGCAUGAAUAUUUAAUUUUAUAUUUAUCUUAUGGAUGGAAGUGUGUAUAUAAAAUUACUACUCAGUAGCAUCAUCUGGACACAGGCAUUAUUAAUAUUAUUAUAAAUAAUUAAUAACGAUGAAAUGUAAUAUAAAUAACAUGUACCCAAAGAUAUUUAUUAUUUAAAUUGAGACAUAAAUAAAUCUAAAUUAUUACCCUA